AUUGGUCCUCGCAGUCCACCUGGGAAAAAGGGCUUCCCUGGUCAACCUGUGUAUUUUGUCAAUAUUUCACAAACCUUUUCAGUUUUCCAGUAAGUUUACUACAAUUAUGACAUUUUGAAGUCUUGUUUGAUCAAUGUUUGUUUUUAUUUUUCAGUGUCUUUUUGGAAAGAGAGGAAUGAAAGGGAUACAAGGAAUGCCUGGAGUUAAGGGAGUGAGAGGUCAGCGUGGACUACCAGGGAAACCAGGUCCUCCUGGCCGUCCAAGAAAUAUGCGACCUGAAUCCCUUGGAAAAAUAAUAAGAUUUKAAGAACAAUACCGGACCAUGGCCAGGAGAACGCUUGACUCAUUCCCUGACCAUCACUCAAGCAGCUCCUUCAGCUGGCCUCAGGGCACCAAAGACAGCCCUGCAACGAGCUGGGGCUGAUUCAUCCACACCUGCAGGAUGGAAACUUUUACGUGGACCCUAACCAGGGCUGCCCAUUUGAUGCCCUGCAAGCGUUCUGUAACUUCACUGCAGGAGGGUUGACCUGUAUACCUCCUGUGCUGUCACAAGUAAGUAGCUUGUCCUGAAAUCGUACAACUUUGCGUAUCUCUUGAGCAGAAUA